rnacentral:rRNA from 1 species
AGAGUUUGAUCCUGGCUCAGAACGAACGCUGGCGGCAUGCCUAAUACAUGCAAGUCGAACGCUCCUGGGGAUUUCGGUCCCGAGGGGAGUGGCGCACGGGUGAGUAGCGCGUGGGAACCUGCCCUGUUGUGGGGGAUAACCGAGGGAAACUUCGGCUAAUACCGCAUGCGCCCCCGGGCCUGGUCUUCGGAUUAGUCCUG